rnacentral:rRNA from 1 species
AGAGUUUGAUCCUGGCUCAGAACGAACGCUGGCGGCAGGCUUAACACAUGCAAGUUGAACGGGAACAUACGAUAGCUUGCUAUAGUAUGUGAGAGUGGCGCACGGGUGAGUAAUACAUGGGAACAUACCUUGAAGUGGGGGAUAACUUCUGGAAACGGAUGCUAAUACCGCAUAUACCCUGAGGGGGAAAGAUUUAUCGCUUUAAGAUUGGCCCAUGGCAGAUUAGGUAGUUGGUGGGGUAAAGGCCUACCAAGCCGACGAUCUGUAGCUGGUCUGAGAGGACGAUCAGCCACAUUGGGACUGAGACACGGCCCAGACUCCUACGGGAGGCAGCAGUGAGGAAUAUUGGGCAAUGGGGGCAACCCUGACCCAGCCAUGCCGCGUGAGUGAAGAAGGUUUUCGAAUUGUAAAGCUCUUUCGGAUGUGACGAUGAUGACGGUAGCAUCUAAAGAAGCCCCGGCAAACUUCGUGCCAGCAGCCGCGGUAAUACGAAGGGGGCGAGCGUUGUUCGGAAUUACUGGGCGUAAAGGGUGUGUAGGUGGACGUGUAAGAUAGCGGUGAAAUGCCGGAGCUCAACUUCGGAAUUGCCAUUAUAACUAUGCGUCUAGAAUUAUAGAGAGGAUAGCGGAAUACCCAGUGUAGAGGUGAAAUUCGUAGAUAUUGGGUAGAACACCAGUGGCGAAGGCGGCUAUCUGGCUAUAUAUUGACACUGAGGCACGAAAGCAUGGGGAUCAAACAGGAUUAGAUACCCUGGUAGUCCAUGCCGUAAACGAUGAAUGCUGGUUGUCGGACGAAUGUUCGGUGACGAAGUUAACGCGAUAAGCAUUCCGCCUGGGGAGUACGGCCGCAAGGUUAAAACUCAAAGGAAUUGACGGGGACCCGCACAAGCGGUGGAGCAUGUGGUUUA